rnacentral:rRNA from 1 species
AUGAUGUUCGAAGAGGCGGUCUGCAAGCUCGCUGCCGACAUAGCGGCGAUCUCGCCGGCAGUGGUGAAGAAGGCCGUGGACGCACUGGCGCGCAGCAGCCGUGCCUGCGCCGCUGCGGAUGCCUUCAUCCACCUGUUCCUGGGCACGUUGUACGUGAUCGUCGCGGCAAUUUUCUUCGACACGGUCGCGGUCCGGGUCUGCGGCGGCGACUACGCCGCGAGAUCCGUCCUGUCCGAGAUCACGGGAUGCAUCUUUACAGCCUCCCUGCUUCUUUCAGCGCCGGCGUUCCUGCUCUUCUUCCUGCGCGCAGCAGGGAGCAGCAGCGAGCUGGCGGAGGGCCUCCUCAUGAAGGAUUUCGAUGAGCGGCUUUCUUGUGCCCCUGAAAGCCCUCCGUCUCCGCUAGGCAGGGCAGCUGCACGGCUUUUUGCUUGGUCAUUUUGGUUGGGAUUCAUCUCGUGGACUCUUCAGCUGUGUGGACUAUUUCCAGAGAUUUCUGACCUUCUUGACGACGCGUCUAAUCUGGGCAUCUGGUCAUGUUUCGCUCUCAUCUAUUUGCGUGCUGGAAUGGCGCUGCGGAGGAUGAAUCCCAGGCCCAGCGACAUCAUCGCGGCAGAGGCAGAUCACGCGGCUUCACCUACUCAGGAUUUCGAGCUGGGAGCAGCAAGGUGA